GUUUGGUGGGGCGCGCGGCGCGUUCGCCCGAGCAGUGGGAAUACGUUGGUUGACAGUGAUGCUCAACCAUCGCUUUUGGUUCCUUUUCUUCUUCCUUUUUUAUUGGAUCUUUUAAUCGAUAGAUUAAACUUCUUGUCCUAAUUAAUUGAUUAAGAACUUAGGCAGUCGCAGGUAAAGGAGCAUAAGAACAUAUAUUCUUAUUUAUAUAAGUACAUAUGACAAAAAGAAUGCUAAACUUGAAUUGCAUAUUGUACGUGUAUGUGUAUGUUUGAAAAGAAAUAAGACCAUACUUUCCACAUUAUACAAAGUUCCCAUUUGAAUUGCAAAUAUUAAUCUAAGUAUCUAGAAGAUAAAAUUUGUUGUAUGCGCGGUUAAAUGGAAAAUUAUAGAAUAUAACAAUAGUGAAAAAAGAUUAUCGGCGGUGCACCGAGGAUCGCAGGAUUCGCAGCGAAUCGAUUCGCCUCUCAAGGAUUACGGGCGCGGUACGCAUGCCGGAUACCCGUGCGUACCUCUAGUUGCUAUCCUCCGAGCAACCACGCAUUGGUCUGGCGAAGCACCGUGACCCACAUUUUCAUGUCGACUACAAUUCAAGUUAAAGUUCUGUUCUAUCUGAGGGUGAACUAUUUCUUCGAUCUUUCAAACCAUAGUUGAUUCAGUAAAGUCUCUACUAUUCUUAGAAAAAAGGAGCCUAUAGAGAAAAAAACGAAGACUGAAAGUAGACGAAAUGGAGCACAUGAAGUCAAUGGAAAAAUGUAAUCCGUAUAAAAACUGGUUGGCGAACUACCAUUUAGAGAAAGCCAUGAGAAAGAAGACGAAUACACCGUAUAGAGCGAAGAUCAUCCAUGUAUACAUCGCAUAGGUACAUACAUAUCUGUACUUAUAUAAGCAUCUAUAUACCAAAUUGUAUGCCAAAUUGCGUGACUUGGUCUCAUUGUUCGAUAAUUUAGACCAUCAGGUAUAAAGAAGACGCCUUUUACUAAUAAUUCGAUGUUAUAUACGUAUUUAAACGAAUGGACAAACAUCAUAACUUUUUCUUAUGUGCAUUUACAAUCGAUAUGAAUUAAAUUUAAAAUGACAAUCUAAAAGAGCAAGCGAAAAUUUGUUGGGGUAAUAACUCGAUUACAGGAAAUCGAUCUCGCUUUUUAUUUUCAUUAUUACUUUUUUUACCAACUUUAUAUUUAAAGUAGUUUAAAAAAGAAUGUUAUC